UACGUAGGGUGCAAGCGUUAAUCGGAAUUACUGGGCGUAAAGCGUGCGCAGGCGGUUCGCUAAGACCGAUGUGAAAUCCCCGGGCUUAACCUGGGAACUGCAUUGGUGACUGGCGGGCUAGAGUAUGGUAGAGGGUGGGUAGAUUCCACGUGUAGCAGUGAAAUGCGUAGAGAUGUGGAGGAAUACCGAUGGCGAAGGCAGCCCCCUGGGAUAACGACUGA
rnacentral:rRNA from 1 species